GCCCCCGGGCUGGUGCCUGCCUCUGCCUUCGUCACGCGGGGGUAGCGGGUUCGAGUCCCGCCGGGGGCU
rnacentral:tRNA from 1 species